CGAGACCUACGGGGGGCAGCAGUGAGGAAUAUUGGUCAAUGGGCGAGAGCCUGAACCAGCCAAGUCGCGUGAGGGAGUACUGCCCUAUGGGUUGUAAACCUCUUUUGUCGGGGAGCAAAAGCCGGACGUGUCCGGCUGUGAGAGUACCCGAAGAAAAAGCAUCGGCUAACUCCGUGCCAGCAGCCGCGGUAAUACGGAGGAUGCGAGCGUUAUCCGGAUUUAUUGGGUUUAAAGGGUGCGCAGGCGGAUUUUUAAGUCAGCGGUAAAAAUGCGGAGCUCAACUCCGUCGAGCCGUUGAAACUGCC
rnacentral:rRNA from 1 species